GAUUGGAGGAGGCCUGCCAGAAGGGUGGGGCGAUGGGCGUGGCUAACGGGAUAACUGCCAGAGCAGAAGACAGUUGGCAGUUAUUUCGCAACCUUCAUCUGUUCCUGGAAGAUACCCGUAGCCUGCCUUCCUUCUUGACAGGCUGAUUUAGGGGUGCUCCCCAAGAAGAUCAGGACUGCUGAAAGAAUGAAGAAGAACUUACUUGGCCUAGGAUGUGGCUAGAGAACGGAGCGCACUUUCACUUACCUGGCAAGGUGGUUUUGGAAGUUUCCACGGAAGCCUUCCCAGGGCCGCUGCUGCCCGUCCUCGCCUAGAAUUCCAUUCUCCCAUCCCAGGAAGGAGAGUGCCCUGCGUGCCACGAAAGAGCCCAGGACCCACAGGACAAAUACGUCACUGGCAGACCUGCCUUCGCCAGCGCCAGCCCAUCUCUGAAACCUCCAGCAUUUGUGCCCCGGUCCGGCCCCUCCCAGGCCUGACUCUUUCCGUGAACGGUCACUGCGCAGGAUCAAGCUACAAUGAAGAGGAGGGAGGCAGUCUGCGCGCACCGCCAUUUUCUAGGAACUGGGAAGCCCCCCCACCCCUUAGGAAGAUCCAUCCCUGUGGAACCUUGCCCAGGCUUACCAGCCUUUGCUGAGGUUGAUCUAUUGUCCCUCCUUGUCCCCAUCAAAAUAUCCAGCACUCCACCUUCAGGGAGUAGACUUGACCCUCAAAUAGCAAGUUCAGCCUUCCCAGGUCUAGGUUCCCUGGGAGGUCAAGAUUCGUCUGGUUCCUUAGUACAGAGGGCUAGCUGUGAGUUGGAAUCCCCCUAUGAGCUUUAGAAUCAGUCAAGAGGAAUUGGGCCCCUUCCCUUCAUCCCUCUUCUUUUCCCUUUUUGUCCCAGAGCUCAGCUCUGACUCAAAAGUUUUUCCAUUUACCAUCAACAUGGAAACUUGGCUCCUCACGUAGGUAUAUUAUCCCCCUUUUGUACAUGGUCUUGUUGAUCCAAACUCCCUUUCUGUGAAAGAGGCCUGUGGGGCUCAAGAAGCCUGGUCAGCCAGCCAGGCUAGUCCCACAUACCUCAGAACCAGUUUAAUAAAGGCUCUAUGUCAUUCUUUUUU
ensembl:lncRNA TDRG1 testis development related 1